rnacentral:rRNA from 1 species
UUAAUCGGAUUCAUUGGGCGUAAAGAGCGCGUAGGCGGAGAUUUAAGUCAGGCGUGAAAUCCCGAAGCUCAACUUCGGAACAGCGCUUGAAACUAAAUCCCUUGAGGGUAGGCGGAGAAAGUGGAAUUCCACAUGUAGCGGUGAAAUGCGUAGAUAUGUGGAAGAACACCAGUGGCGAAGGCGACUUUCUAGCUUACUCCUGACGCUGAGGCGCGAAAGCAAGGGGAGCGAACAGGAUUAGAUACCCUGGUAGUCCUUGCCGUAAACGAUGCAUACUUGGUGUAGCCGGACUUAACCCCGGUUGUGCCGGAGCUAACGUGUUAAGUAUGCCGCCUGGGAAGUACGCUCGCAAGGGUGAAACUCAAAAGAAUUGACGGGGACCCGCACAAGCAGUGGAGCAUGUGGUUUAAUUCGAUGCAACGCGAAGAACCUUACCCAGACUUGACAUGUAGUGGACCGCACCAGAAAUGGUGCUUUCCUUCGGGACCGCUACACAGGUGCUGCAUGGCU